GUGCUCACUUCAGCACGUAUGCUACCAACAGAACGACACAGAGAAGAUUAGCAUGGUCCCUGCUCAGGGGUGACAUAUGCAAAUUCAUGAAGCAUUCCAAAUUUUU
ensembl:snRNA U6 U6 spliceosomal RNA